rnacentral:rRNA from 1 species
GUCCUAGCAGUAAAUGAUGCAGACUAGGUGUCAUCACACGCAUGACGUUUGGUGGUGCCGAAGGGAACCGUUAAGUCUGCCGCCUGGGGAGUACGGUCGCAAGACUGAAACUUAAAGGAAUUGGCGGGGAGCACCACAAGGGGUGAGGCUGCGGUUUAAUUGGAUACAACGCCGGACAUCUUACCGGGGGCGACAGCAGUAUGAAGGUCAGUCUAAAAGGGCUUACUAGACAAGCUGAGAGGCGGUGCAUGGCCAUCGU